rnacentral:rRNA from 1 species
UACAGAGGUCUCAAGCGUUGUUCGGAUUCAUUGGGCGUAAAGGGUGCGUAGGCGGCGCGGUAAGUCGGGUGUGAAAUCUCGGAGCUUAACUCCGAAACUGCAUUCGAUACUGCCGUGCUUGAGGACUGGAAAGGAGACUGGAAUUUACGGUGUAGCGGUGAAAUGCGUAGAUAUCGUAAGGAAGACCAGUGGCGAAGGCGGGUCUCUGGACAGUUCCUGACGCUGAGGCACGAAGGUCAGGGGGAGCAAACGGG